GAGGGUAUAGCUCAGUGGCAGAGUGUGUGUUUAAUUAGCAUGCACAAGAUCCCGGGUUCAAUCCCCAGUACCCCCA
rnacentral:tRNA from 1 species